rnacentral:rRNA from 1 species
UACAGAGGGUGCAAGCGUUAAUCGGAGUUACUGGGCGUAAAGCGUGCGUAGGUGGAUAUUUAAGUCGAAUGUGAAAGCCCCGGGCUUAACCUGGGAACUGCAUCCGAUACUGGAUAUCUAGAGUAUGGUAGAGGAAAGUGGAAUUCCCGGUGUAGCGGUGAAAUGCGUAGAUAUCGGGAGGAACAUCAAUGGCGAAGGCAACUUUCUGGACUAAUACUGACACUGAGGUACGAAAGCGUGGGGAGCAAACAGG